rnacentral:rRNA from 1 species
UGGGGAAUCUUGGACAAUGGGCGCAAGCCUGAUCCAGCCAUGCCGCGUGGAUGAUGAAGGCCUUAGGGUUGUAAAAUCCUUUCGCCGAGGACGAUAAUGACGGUACUCGGAGAAGAAGCUCCGGCUAACUUCGUGCCAGCAGCCGCGGUAAUACGAAGGGGGCUAGCGUUGUUCGGAUUCACUGGGCGUAAAGGGUGCGCAGGCGGUUAAUUGUGUCAGGUGUGAAAUCCCGGAGCUCAACUCCGGAACUGCGCCUGAAACUGAUUGACUAGAGGCUCGGAAAGGUAAGCGGAAUUCCAGGUGUAGCGGUGAAAUGCGUAGAUAUCUGGAGGAACACCAAAGGCGAAGGCAGCUUACUAGACGAGAUCUGACGCUCAGGCACGAAAGCGUGGGUAGCGAACAGGAUUAGAUACCCACGUAGUCCCUGAGCGGGCUGGCAAGGCGCAU